AGCAGAAGUAGGAACCCGAGAAAGAGAAGAACUGCUCUGGUUAAUGCUUUAUCAUUUUUGAUUGUGUUCUUUGCUCAAAGCAAAACUUAAUUUCAUCUUGCCCGGGGGAAAUCAUCCAGGCAAAAUACCCAAGUGACCAGCUCCUGACUUUAGCACAAGUCAUGGGUGUUCGCUAUAUUUGAAACAGAGCAACAUUCUUUGAAGUAGCUGACCAUCUGGACCUAAGGAUGCAAACCUCUUGAUGCUGCAGGGAAAGCUCCAAGGGGGAAUUACAUCGCAUGCAAGCGUUCGCCCUCCACACACGUGACGCUGUGAAGCUCAAGGUUUGAAGAUUUUAUCGCAGCUGCCCAGAACUGUGUCCCUGGCCAGAGUCGCUCACGUGUAGUGAAAGAGUAUGCUUAUUUCUUAUACUUAAUCCGAAUGAAGAGAAAAUCAAAUUGAAAGUUACACUGAACUGUCAAAGAGUCUGCGAAACAGGGCUGGAGAGAGGGCUCAGGGGUUAAGAGCACGGGCUGCUCUUUCAGAGGUCAUGACUUCAA